AAAUGUUCCAGGUGCCAUCUGUAGAAGCGUAACAAUGGACAAAAAGAGGCCCACAAGGAGGGAGAGUGUCUUGUGCAGACUCAAAGACCAAGUGAGGAUAACACAAUUCUUCUGGAGGGUCUAAAGCUUUUUCUGAUAAGGCUGAUAAAGGUGAGCUAGAAGUGGUGGUAUCCAGACAGAAGAAGCAGCUCUUUGAAUCUUUCCCAACGGUGACCAAGAGAUAACUCUGUGCAUAACUGCACACAAGUAUGAAGGCCUAAGUUCAAAUCCUCAGCCCCCACAUCUAAACUUGAGUGCAGCUGUAAUUGUCUGGAACUCCAGUGCUGUAGGAGGUGGAGGCCGUAGGGUUGCUGGGGCUUGCCUUAGCUACCACACCAGAUCCAGGUUCAGUGAGAGACCCAGUCUCAAGAGUGCUGCAGACCCUCUGGGCCCCUUUGUCUGCGUGGAACGGGUCUCUGGUUGCGGGUGGGCAAAGCAUCGGAUGAGUGACAAACAGACGCACACAGGAGAGUUUGUGUUGGAUCUGAAUGUAAUUUUUCAAAUUGAACAUCAGACUUUUUAUGCAGAAGACAAUAAGGAAGUUGGGUGACAUACCUGCAAGGUACAAAUGAGGUAACCGGAUGCUUAAUGACUCUUACACAGAACAGAGGAAUGAAAACGCAAAGACUGGCAGGAACUGGGCAAUAAAAUAACUGAGACAAAGUCAGCCCUAUCUAAGGUCAGCUAUAGUCUUAGGAGCCAGGUGUGAGAUCUUUACUCUCCUAGGGCAAGGGCUUUCACACCCAAGUCAUGGUUCUAACUAGGGAGUUCCAUUCUAGCUAACCAUCUCAUGAAUAAUGCAAUACUCUAAAACCACAGCCCGAUCUACUUUUUA
rnacentral:lncRNA from 1 species